AUCCAAUCAAAAUAUUAAAUUCUUCUUUAAUCUUUGUAAUUUUAUCAUAAAAAUAUAUAUAUAAAAAUAAAACAAAUACGAACACACACAUUCACUUUUACUAUAUUUGUUUCUUUUCUUUUCUUUUCUUUUUUUUCCUUUUUUUCCUUCCAUAUUUACAAAAUACAAAUUACAAAAACUCAAAUCUAAACAAAUAUUACAUUAAACAAAUUAGAAAUUACAAAAUAACCCCUCAAAACUCCAUAACAGUGCUGGGAAGCCCUUCUGGAACAGCAUGAACAGUGGC
rnacentral:lncRNA from 1 species